rnacentral:rRNA from 1 species
AAAUUGAAGAGUUUGAUCAUGGCUCAGAUUGAACGCUGGCGGCAGGCCUAACACAUGCAAGUCGAACGGUAACAGGAAGCAGCUUGCUGCUUUGCUGACGAGUGGCGGACGGGUGAGUAAUGUCUGGGAAACUGCCUGAUGGAGGGGGAUAACUACUGGAAACGGUAGCUAAUACCGCAUAACGUCGCAAGACCAAAGAGGGGGACCUUCGGGCCUCUUGCCAUCGGAUGUGCCCAGAUGGGAUUAGCUAGUAGGUGGGGUAACGGCUCACC